rnacentral:rRNA from 1 species
UACGGAGGGUGCAAGCGUUAUCCGGAUUCACUGGGUUUAAAGGGCGCGUAGGCGGUCCUGAUCGUCGGAUGUGAAAGGCCUGGGCUCAACCUGGGAAUGGCAUCCGAUACGGCGGGACUGGAGUGUGGGAGAGGUUGGUGGAAUUCCCAGUGUAGAGGUGAAAUUCGUAGAUAUUGGGAAGAACACCGGUGGCGAAGGCGGCCAACUGGACCACAACUGACGCUGAGGCGCGAAAGCGUGGGGAGCAAACAGG